rnacentral:rRNA from 1 species
CUUUGGUUCUAUUUUGUUGGUUUCUAGGACCGAGGUAAUGAUUAAUAGGGACAGUUGGGGGCAUUAGUAUUUAAUUGUCAGAGGUGAAAUUCUUGGAUUUAUGAAAGACUAACUUCUGCGAAAGCAUUUGCCGAGGAUGUUUUCAUUAAUCAAGAACGAAAGUUAGGGGAUCGAAGACGAUCAGAUACCGUCGUAGUCUUAACCAUAAACUAUGCCGACUAGGGAUCGGACGACGUUACAUCAUUGACUCGUUCGGCACCUUAUGAGAAAUCUUGAGUUUUUGGGUUCCGGGGGGAGUAUGGUCGCAAGGCUGAAACUUAAAGGAAUUGACGGAAGGGCACCACCAGGAGUGGAGCCUGCGGCUUAAUUUGACUCAACACGG